AUUGAACGCUGGCGGCAGGCCUAACACAUGCAAGUCGAGCGAGCGGCGGACGGGUGAGUAAUGUCUGGGACACUGCCUGAUGGAGGGGGAUACCUACUGGAAACGGUAGCUAAUACCGCAUACCAUCAGAUGUGCCCAGAUGGGAUUAGCUAGUAGGGGGGGUAAUGGCUCACCUAGGCGACGAUCCCUAGCUGGUCUGAGAGGAUGAACAGCCAAACUGGAACUGAGACACGGUCCAGACUCCUACGGGAGGCAGCAGUGGGGAAUAUUGCACAAUGGGCGCAAGCCUGAUGAAGCCAUGCCGCGUGUGUGAAGAAGGCCUUCGGGUUGUAAAGCACUUUCAGCGAGGAGGCGUUACCCGCAGAAGAAGCACCGGCUAACUCCGUGCCAGCAGCCGCGGUAAUAC
rnacentral:rRNA from 1 species